UAGUAAGAUCCCUGAAAGAUGAUCAGGUUGAUAGGUCAGAGGUGGAAGCGUGGCGACAUGUGUAGCUGACUGAUACUAAUCGAUCGAGGACUUAACCAAA
rnacentral:rRNA from 2 species